UACGGGGGGGGCAAGCGUUGUUCGGAAUUACUGGGCGUAAAGGGCUCGUAGGCGGCCAUCUAAGUCGGAUGUGAAAUCCCCAGGCUUAACCUGGGAACUGCAUCCGAUACUGGAUGGCUUGAAUUCGGGAGAGGGAUGCAGAAUUCCAGGUGUAGCGGUGAAAUGCGUAGAGAUGUGGAGGAAUACCGAUGGCGAAGGCAGCCUCCUGGGCCAACACUGACGCUCAUGCACGAAAGCGUGGGGAGCAAACAGG
rnacentral:rRNA from 1 species